rnacentral:misc_RNA from 1 species
AACGCACAUUGCGCCCGCCAGUAUUCUGGCGGGCAUGCCUGUUCGAGCGUCAUUUCAACCCUCAAGCCCCCCGGGUUUGGUGUUGGGUGCCGGCGUCCAGCGCUCCCCCCGCGGAGCGCCCGCCGCCCCCGAAAUGGAUUGGCGGUCUCGUCGCAGCCUCCCUUGCGUAGUAACAUACCACCUCGCAUGGCGGAGCGCGGCGCGGCCACUGCCGUAAAACAACCCAAUUUCUCAAGAGUUGACCUCGGAUCAGGUAGGAAUACCCGCUGAACUUAA